rnacentral:lncRNA from 1 species
AAACCGGCGGCGGUGAUAAUGGCGGCAACACCACCGGAAGUAGAAGAAGAGUUAGAGCCAGUAGAACCAUAAUAAUAAUCGACUUCAACAUCAAAUGGUUUCACAUAAAUAACCGGCCACCAUAAACUUGCAUCCUUAAAAACCCUUUUAACCGUUGGAUGAUGAUCAUGAUAACCAAAAGGCAAUUUUUUGAUGAUGAUCAUAAGGGAAGUUAGUAUUAUCCAUUUUUGUUGCAGCGGAGCAUUACUGUUCUUUGGUGUUGGAAAAUAUGGAGUUGAAAGAAGAAGAAGAAGAAGACAAGUGGGUUUGUGUCUUGUAUUUGAAAAAGUAGAUAUGAAAAAGUAGACAAGUGGGUUUG